GACGAACCGAGCGAACGUUGUUCGGAAUCACUGGGCUUACAGGGUGCGUAGGCGGCCUUUCAAGUCAGGUGUGAAAGCCCCCGGCUCAACCGGGGAACUGCGCUUGAAACUGAAGGGCUCGAGUCAGCUAGAGGUGCACGGAACUUCCAGUGGAGCGGUGAAAUGUGUUGAUAUUGGAAGGAACACCGGAGGCGAAAGCGGUGCACUGGGGCUGGUCUGACGCUGAGGCACGAAAGCCAGGGGAGCGAACGGG
rnacentral:rRNA from 1 species